AGUGCUCUCGCUGGGUGUAGAGUUCACUGGUGAGUGUGAGUGCAACUGUAGAAAGGGUUUCGCAUGAAGGCAGAGUGGAAAACCCUAACAAAGAAUUGGACAGGAGCUGCUCUGCUGAGAAACCUGGCGAGGUGUUGCAAGACUGAGCGUAAGGAGUGCAGAACACAGUAGUUUGCUACAACUCUCCUCAAUGAUAGAGGCUUCAGUUAUGAAUGCUGUACCACAGAGGAAGGCUUUGACACUUGUGCUGCUACUUUAGCUUUGGAGACUUCUGACACAGCCCAAUUUCCUGAGCAGAGACCUGUUUGUGGGGCCUUGGCAGGGUUUGAAAGGCGUUGCUUCUGCUCCUGUGUUGUGGGAUCAGCCUGGAUUUCAGGAGGAUGCAGUAGGCCGCGUGCUUUCCUGGAGAAACAAUGACAGCUACCACAUUUCCUUGAGCAUGCAAGUCUGAUGGCACUCCAGUACUUACCCCAAGAUGAGUGAUGAUUGUACUAAUUAAGAACUGAAGUGAAAGAAUAUGAAAGGGAUGCAGUGUGGGGUGACUUCUAAUAAAACUGAACUACUUUGUUAGCAGUUGAUGCUGCUUUUCUCACAUAGCAGCUGUUAUUUUCCUUGUAAAACAUAGGACAUUGUUCCCAAACCAGCCCUGGUGCUGGGAGGAGCACUUGCAGUUAAGGUUUGCUCUGCACUGCAUUUUACUCUAUGCAUCUUGCAGAAGUAGAAGCUUGGGCUUUCUAGACUCCUGUCCUUUGUUCCUCUGUGGUUUGCUGUGUGCUUUUGAAUAUGAUAACCUUUUCAUAGUUGUUUUUACUGGGCUUCAGACUGCACUAUUACAGCAUCUUAUGCACAUGCAUGUAAAGAAGUGGGGGGAACAUCAGCUGCAGCAGCUGCACACAACAGCUGCUUGGAUCCCUGCUCUCUGCAGACUGGCACUGAGUGACCACACUUUCCCUGCACUCUGUUGUCAGAUUAACUGUAUGGAUCUUCCACUCUUGUUUGGGAGGGAAAGGAAAGCUUACCGACAGGAAUACAUGAGCCUUAUUGCAGCUGGAUGGUUGACAGCAGUGUUCUAGAAUGGCAGUGCUGCAGUCUAUCUUGCAGUGGUGACACCUUUUAUUUACUCAAAGAAACUUUUUAUUCACCUCUGCAACUGAGCUACAGCUAUGCUGUUACACCCCAGGUGUGCUUUGCUCAUAUUUACUUAACUCAUCAUUAACCCAUCUACUGAAUAAACCCUGGGGCUGGUUUGAACAUUGAGCACCAUGCUACUCACCUCAUUCCUCUACUAGGAGUUGAAUGAAGGUGUUUAUUAGUCCUGUCUUGCUCAUCCUCCUAUAAGUAACUUAUUCUGAAGAGCUUCCUCAGGGCUGGUUUUGGAGCUGCAUCACUUAUUCUUUUGCCAGUUUCCUAUGCAAAUUUGCAGUAUUUUUAGGAAGUCCAAGCUGAAAUGAUUCCCCCAGGUUUGUCAACAGAUCAGUAAUUGCUUUGGGGGAGGGUUGCUAUUCACAGGGCCAGAAAACAUUCCUCUGUUUUAAGUGAAGGAAUAUAAAAUUAACGAGGCUGCACCCACUGGGAUAGCGACAUGCCUGUUUGUUUUAUUAACAGCAGACACAGUUUUAUUAGGAAAAAACAAAGUGGAAAAGGAUCUACUGGGACAAACACACAAGCGUGACUGGAACAAGGUCAAAUCUCUUAUUAUUCUGGUCUGAUCACACCAGAGCUGAAAGUGAGCCGUGCUGUUGGGAUUCACACCUGAUCCGUGGGUUAGUCUGGUGUUCAGCACUCUCUUGAUCCUAUCCCAGCUUAUCAGCAGUGUUUAUUUUGUUCCACUGGGUCAUCCUAUACUAACAUUUGGCUGCAGUUGUCUGGCUGUUAAAACCCUGGUGCUUGCUGGCAGGGACUGCCUACUUUGAUUCUUCUCUUAAACAAGAGACCAUGAAGGACUGAAGCCCUUGAAACUUUCUCAGGGAGAAGCCAAGCAAUUCUUUCAGACCAUGAUAGCCAGACAGAACAAUUUUGCCUACUUUAUGGUGAAAUAGUAGGAUCUCCCUGUACUGCUUUUCCAGAACACUUUCUGUGUAGCUGGCAGGCAUUGCAUUAACCCACAGUAGAGCUGCAGCCAACCCUGCCUUCAUUACUGUGUGCACGUUCUUUUCUCCCUUUGGAAAGCUCUCUCCACGUUUGCAGUGCUUCCUCGGGCCAGUUUCAGUGGUAGGUUGGUGGGUAGCUCAGCACUGGUCCCAUUACUCUGCUUUCAUUGUCUGAAGUUGGGUUUGAUACAGUGAGCUAACAAAGCAGUAGCACCAGGUCAACAUCAGUGAUUACGCUUUUAUUGUCUUAGCAGCAAACAAAAUAUACCUGUUAACCAAUCCCCCCAUGUGCUUCCCAGUCCCUAUUUAAUAUUGCAGUAGAGAAAACUUCAGAAGGUGAGGUCAGCUCUUCUGGGUGGUUUUGGAUCUC
ensembl:lncRNA